GUGGGGAAUCUUCCGCAAUGGACGAAAGUCUGACGGAGCAACGCCGCGUGAGUGAUGAAGGUCUUCGGAUUGUAAAGCUCUGUUAAUCGGGACGAAAGAGCCUAGUGUGAAUAAUGCUAGGAAGUGACGGUACCGGAAUAGAAAGCCACGGCUAACUACGUGCCAGCAGCCGCGGUAAUACGUAGGUGGCAAGCGUUGUCCGGAAUUAUUGGGCGUAAAGCGCGCGCAGGCGGAUCUGCCAGUCUGUCUUAAAAGUUCGGGGCUUAACCCCGUGAUGGGAUGGAAACUACAGAUCUAGAGUAUCGGAGAGGAAAGUGGAAGUCCUAGUGUAGCGGUGAAAUGCGUAGAUAUUAGGAAGAACACCAGUGGCGAAGGCGACUUUCUGGACGAAAACUGACGCUGAGGCGCGAAAGCCAGGGGAGCGAACGGGAUUAGAUACCCUAGUAGUCC
rnacentral:rRNA from 1 species